CCUAAAGGUACUGUAGCCCUACACGAGG
rnacentral:piRNA from 1 species